rnacentral:rRNA from 1 species
UACGGAGGGGGCUAGCGUUGUUCGGAAUUACUGGGCGUAAAGCGCACGUAGGCGGCUUUGUAAGUUAGAGGUGAAAGCCCGGGGCUCAACCCCGGAAUAGCCUUUAAGACUGCAUCGCUUGAACACGGGAGAGGUGAGUGGAAUUCCGAGUGUAGAGGUGAAAUUCGUAGAUAUUCGGAAGAACACCAGUGGCGAAGGCGGCUCACUGGACCGUUGUUGACGCUGAGGAGCGAAAGCUAGGGGAGCAAACGGG